rnacentral:rRNA from 1 species
CGUAACAAGGUCUCCGUUGGUGAACCAGCGGAGGGAUCAUUACAGAGUUGCAAAACUCCCACAAACCAUCGCGAAUCUUACCCGUACGGUUGCCUCGGCGCUGGCGGUCCUUCGGGACCCUCGGGCCUCCCGCUCGCGGGGGGCUGCCCGCCGGAGUGCCGAAACCAAACUCUUGAUAUUUUAUGUCUCUCUGAGUAAACUUUUAAAUAAGUCAAAACUUUCAACAACGGAUCUCUUGGUUCUGGCAUCGAUGAAGAACGCAGCGAAAUGCGAUAAGUAAUGUGAAUUGCAGAAUUCAGUGAAUCAUCGAAUCUUUGAACGCACAUUGCGCUCGCCAGUAUUCUGGCGAGCAUGCCUGUUCGAGCGUCAUUUCAACCAUCAAGCUCUGCUUGCGUUGGGGAUCCGCGGCUGCCCGCGGUCCCUCAAAAACAGUGGCGGGCUCGCUAGUCACACCGAGCGUAGUAACUCUACAUCGCUAUGGUCGUGCGGCGGGUUCUUGCCGUAAAACCCCCCAAUUUCUAAGGUUGACCUCGGAUCAGGUAGGAAUACCCGCUGAACUUAAGCAUAUCAA